CUGCUCAUGGGAGAUACUUGAUUACCAUUUUGCUCCUCAAUAGUCAUGUGGUUAUGAUAACAUAUGCUUCAUAUUCUUCAGCCAACAGUCAACAAAAGGUUGUGGUCCAAAUCUCAAUGGAGAUAAUAUAAAUUUGUACUGUUGAUUGUCUCAACAAACUUGGUUGGUUCAUUAAUCCGUAUGAAGUAAUUCAUCUCAUGGAGUUUGAGACAAGGGAGGGCAAAGGGAAAAAAUCAUAGACAUGCAUGCUACUAG